ensembl:piRNA 21ur-14994 ncRNA
UCGUUGUCUCAUGUCACAGAU